rnacentral:rRNA from 1 species
AGUGAACGCUGGCGGUAGGCCUAACACAUGCAAGUCGAACGGCAGCACAGUAAGAGCUUGCUCUUACGGGUGGCGAGUGGCGGACGGGUGAGGAAUACAUCGGAAUCUACUUUUUCGUGGGGGAUAACGUAGGGAAACUUACGCUAAUACCGCAUACGACCUACGGGUGAAAGCAGGGGAUCUUCGGACCUUGCGCGAUUGAAUGAGCCGAUGUCGGAUUAGCUAGUUGGCGGGGUAAAGGCCCACCAAGGCGACGAUCCGUAGCUGGUCUGAGAGGAUGAUCAGCCACACUGGAACUGCGACACGGUCCAGACGCCUACGGGAGGCAGCAGUGGGGAAUAUUGGACAAUGGGCGCAAGACUGAUCCAGCCAUACCGCGUGGUGGAAGAAGGCCUUCGGGUUGUAAAGCCCUUUUGUUGGGAAAGAAAAGCAGCAGGUUAAUACCCCGCUGUUCUGACGGUACCCAAAGAAUAAGCACCGGCUAACUUCGUG